AACGCGAAGAACCUUACCUGGGCUCGAACGGCUAGUCAACGAUCGUGGAAACACGGUUACUCCGCAAGGGGGUCUAGUCGAGGUGCUGCAUGGCUGUCGUCAGCUCGUGUCGUGAGAUGUUGGGUUAAGUCCCGCAACGAGCGCAACCCUUGUCCUGUGUUGCCAUCAUUUAGUUGGGAACUCGCAGGAGACCGCCAGCGAUAAGCUGGAGGAAGGUGGGGAUGACGUCAAGUCCUCAUGGCCUUUAUGUCCAGGGCUACACACGUGCUACAAUGGCCGGUACAAUGCGCUGCUAAGUCGCAAGACGGAGCCAAUCGCAAAAAACCGGUCUCAGUUCGGAUUGCAGGCUGCAACUCGCCUGCAUGAAGCUGGAAUCGCUAGUAAUGGCAUAUCAGAACGAUGCCGUGAAUACGUUCCCGGGCCUUGUA
rnacentral:rRNA from 1 species